rnacentral:rRNA from 1 species
UACGUAGGGGGCAAGCGUUGUCCGGAUUCAUUGGGCGUAAAGAGCGUGUAGGCGGCCAGAUAGGUCAGCUGUGAAAACUCGAGGCUCAACCUCGAGACGUCGGCGGAAACCAUCUGGCUAGAGUCCGGAAGAGGAGAGUGGAAUUCCCGGUGUAGCAGUGAAAUGCGCAGAUAUCGGGAAGAACACCCGUGGCGAAGGCGGCUCUCUGGGACGGUACUGACGCUGAGACGCGAAAGCGUGGGGAGCGAACAGG